rnacentral:ncRNA from 2 species
GCACCAACUGCAGGAGAGAGGCUUUCACUAGCCCGCCGAAGGCGCAAACUCCCAUAAACGCUCAGGCACACGGACUGCAGAAUCUGA